rnacentral:rRNA from 1 species
GAUGAACGCUAGCGGCAGGCCUAAUACAUGCAAGACGAACGGUAAGUUGAGUAGCAAUACUUGACCUAGAGUGUCGUACGGGUGCGUAACACGUAUGCAACCUACCCAUAACAGGAGGAUAGCUCCCCGAAAGGGGAAUUAACCCUCCAUAGUAAUAUUGAAUGGCAUCAUUUGGUAUUUAAAACUCCGGUGGUUAUGGAUGGGCAUGCGUCUGAUUAGUUAGUUGGCGGGGUAACGGCCCACCAAGGCGAUGAUCAGUAGGGGAACUGAGAGGUUGAUCCCCCACACUGGCACUGAGAUACGGGCCAGACUCCUACGGGAGGCAGCAGUAGGGAAUAUUGGUCAAUGGAUGGAAGUCUGAACCAGCCAUGCCGCGUGCAGGAAGAAGGCCUUAUGGGUUGUAAACUGCUUUUGCCAGGGGAUAAAAUAGCCGUGCGCAGCGAAUUGCAGGUACCUGGUGAAUAAGCUACGGCUAACUACGUGCCAGCAGCCGCGGUAAUACGUAGGUGGCAAGCGUUGUCCGGAUUUAUUGGGUUUAAAGGGUGCGUAGGCGGCCCUGUAAGUCAGUGGUGAAAUACUCCAGCUUAACUGGAGGGGUGCCAUUGAUACUGCAGGGCUUGAGUGGAGUAGAAGUAGGCGGAAUUGACGGUGUAGCGGUGAAAUGCUUAGAUAUCGUCAAGAACACCGAUAGUGAAGACAGCUUACUAUGCUUCAACUGACGCUGAGGCACGAAAGUGUGGGGAUCAAACAGGAUUAGAUACCCUGGUAGUCCACACUGUAAACGUUGAUGACUCGCUGUUGGCGAUACACAGCCAGCGGCCAAGCGCAAGCGAUAAGUCAUCCACCUGGGGAGUACGCCGGCAACGGUG